CACGUAGGGCGCAAGCCGUUGUCCGGAAUUAUUGGGCGUAAAGAGCUCGUAGGUGGUUUGUUACGUCUGCUGUGAAAACCUAGGGCUUAACCCUGGGCUUGCAGUGGAUACGGGCAGACUAGAGGUAGGUAGGGGAGAAUGGAAUUCCUGGUGUAGCGGUGAAAUGCGCAGAUAUCAGGAGGAACACCGGUGGCGAAGGCGGGUCUCUGGGCCGAUACUGACGCUGAGGAGCGAAAGCGUGGGGAGCGAACAGG
rnacentral:rRNA from 1 species